rnacentral:ribozyme from 1 species
AACAUUAAACUACUCUGCAAUGGGAUGGGAUCCGAAGCCCUCCGAGAGAUAAUACAGGCUCUCCCAUCUAACUCCUAUUCCGACACGUCCUCGUCGUGCAGAGUGGUAACAUGUGCCUCUAUAUAUCCUAGCUUGGGUACACGGGCUAGAUCCAACCCCUUGGGCGAACCAGGAGCGGGGUGGGUAUCCCGAGAAAC